UACCAGACUCCUACGGGAGGCAGCAGUGGGGAAUAUUGCACAAUGGGGGAAACCCUGAUGCAGCGACUCCUCGUGAGUGAAGAAUUAAUUCGUUCCUUAAAGCUCUAUCAUCCUGGAAGAGAAUUACUGUACCUGCUUCCUAAGCCCCGUCUACCUACGUGCCAUCAUCCGCGGUAAUCCUUCUGGGGCAAUCUUUAUCCGGAUUUACUGGGUGUAAAGGUAGCGUAGACGGCAUAGAAAGUCUGAAGUGAAAGCCCGAGGGGAAACCGCGGAACUGCUUUGGAAACUUUUCGGCUAGAGUACCGGAGGGGUAAGCGGAAGUCCUAGUGUAGCGGUGAAAUGCGUAGAGAUGAGGAGGAACACCAGUGGCGAAGGCGGCUUGCUGGACGGUAACUGACGUUGAGGCUCGAAAGCGUGGGGAGCAAACAGGAUUAGAUACCCCAGUAA
rnacentral:rRNA from 1 species